rnacentral:rRNA from 1 species
AGAACGAACGCUGGCGGCAUGCCUAAUACAUGCAAGUCGAACGAACUCUUCGGAGUUAGUGGCGCACGGGUGCGUAACGCGUGGGAAUCUGCCCUUGGGUUCGGAAUAACAGUUGGAAACGACUGCUAAUACCGGAUGAUGACGAAAGUCCAAAGAUUUAUCGCCCAGGGAUGAGCCCGCGUAGGAUUAGCUAGUUGGUGAGGUAAAGGCUCACCAAGGCGACGAUCCUUAGCUGGUCUGAGAGGAUGAUCAGCCACACUGGGACUGAGACACGGCCCAGACUCCUACGGGAGGCAGCAGUAGGGAAUAUGGACAAUGGGCAAAGCCUGAUCCAGCAAUGCCGCGUGAGUGAUGAAGCCUUAGGUUGUAAAGCUCUUUACCGAGAUGAUAAUGACAGUAGUCGGAGAAGUAACGCCCCGGACUAACUCCGACGCCAGCACGCCGAC